UACGUAGGGUGCAAGCGUUGUCCGGAAUUAUUGGGCGUAAAGAGCUCGUAGGCGGUUUGUCGCGUCUGCUGUGAAAACCUAAGGCUCAACCUUGGGCUUGCAGUGGGUACGGGCAGACUAGAGUGCGGUAGGGGUGACUGGAAUUCCUGGUGUAGCGGUGGAAUGCGCAGAUAUCAGGAGGAACACCGAUGGCGAAGGCAGGUCACUGGGCCGCAACUGACGCUGGAGGAAGCGGAAAGCAUGGGGAGCGAACAGG
rnacentral:rRNA from 1 species